GAGCGGUAGAGAGAAGCUUGCUUCUCUUGAGAGCGGCGGACGGGUGAGUAAUGCCUAGGAAUCUGCCUGGUAGUGGGGGAUAACGUCCGGAAACGGACGCUAAUACCGCAUACGUCCUACGGGAGAAAGCAGGGAACCUUCGGGCCUUGCGCUAUCAGAUGAGCCUAGGUCGGAUUAGCUAGUUGGUGAGGUAAUGGCUCACCAAGGCGACGAUCCGUAACUGGUCUGAGAGGAUGAUCAGUCACACUGGAACUGAGACACGGUCCAGACUCCUACGGGAGGCAGCAGUGGGGAAUAUUGGACAAUGGGCGAAAGCCUGAUCCAGCCAUGCCGCGUGUGUGAAGAAGGUCUUCGGAUUGUAAAGCACUUUAAGUUGGGAGGAAGGGCAGUUGCCUAAUACGUAACUGUUUUGACGUUACCGACAGAAUAAGCACCGGCUAACUCUGUG
rnacentral:rRNA from 1 species